rnacentral:rRNA from 1 species
UGGGGAAUAUUGCACAAUGGGCGCAAGCCUGAUGCAGCCAUGCCGCGUGUAUGAAGAAGGCCUUCGGGUUGUAAAGUACUUUCAGUCGGGAGGAAGGUGGUAAGGUUAAUAACCUUAUCAAUUGACGUUACCGACAGAAGAAGCACCGGCUAACUCCGUGCCAGCAGCCGCGGUAAUACGGAGGGUGCAAGCGUUAAUCGGAAUUACUGGGCGUAAAGCGCACGCAGGCGGUUUGUUAAGUCAGAUGUGAAAUCCCCGGGCUCAACCUGGGAACUGCAUCGGAUACUGGCAAGCUUGAGUCUCGUAGAGGGGGGUAGAAUUCCAGGUGUAGCGGUGAAAUGCGUAGAGAUCUGGAGGAAUACCGGUGGCGAAGGCGGCCCCCUGGACGAAGACUGAAGCUCAGGUGCGAAAGCGUGGGGAGCAAACAGG